rnacentral:rRNA from 1 species
UAGUGAAUAUAGGACGUCCAACUUAACUUGGAGUCCGAACUCUCACUUUCUAACCCUGUGCACUUGUUUGGGAUAGUAACUCUCGCAAGAGAGCGAACUCCUAUUCACUUAUAAACACAAAGUCUAUGAAUGUAUUAAAUUUUAUAACAAAAUAAAACUUUCAACAACGGAUCUCUUGGCUCUCGCAUCGAUGAAGAACGCAGCGAAAUGCGAUAAGUAAUGUGAAUUGCAGAAUUCAGUGAAUCAUCGAAUCUUUGAACGCACCUUGCGCUCCAUGGUAUUCCGUGGAGCAUGCCUGUUUGAGUGUCAUGAAUACUUCAACCCUCCUCUUUCUUAAUGAUUGAAGAGGUGUUUGGUUUCUGAGCGCUGCUGGCCUUUACGGUCUAGCUCGUUCGUAAUGCAUUAGCAUCCGCAAUCGAACUUCGGAUUGACUUGGCGUAAUAGACUAUUCGCUGAGGAAUUCUAGUCUUCGGAUUAGAGCCGGGUUGGGUUAAAGGAAGCUUCUAAUCAGAAUGUCUACAUUUUAAGAUUAGAUCUCAAAUCAGGUAGGACUACCCGCUGAACUUAAGCAUAUCAAUAAGCGGAGGAAAAGAAACUAACAAGGAUUCCCCUAGUAGCGGCGAGCGAAGCGGGAAGAGCUCAAAUUUAUAAUCUGGCACCUUCGGUGUCCGAGUUGUAAUCUCUAGAAAUGUUUUCCGCGUUGGACCGCACACAAGUCUGUUGGAAUACAGCGGCAUAGUGGUGAGACCCCCGUAUAUGGUGCGGACGCCCAGCGCUUUGUGAUACAUUUUCGAAGAGUCGAGUUGUUUGGGAAUGCAGCUCAAAUUGGGUGGUAAAUUCCAUCUAAAGCUAAAUAUUGGCGAGAGACCGAUAGCGAACAAGUACCGUGAGGGAAAGAUGAAAAGCACUUUGGAAAGAGAGUUAACAGUACGUGAAAUUGUUGGAAGGGAAACGCUUGAAGUCAGACUUGCUUGCCGAGCAAUCGGUUUGCAGGCCAGCAUCAGUUUUCCGGGAUGGAUAAUGGUAGAGAGAAGGUAGCAGUUUCGGCUGUGUUAUAGCUCUCUGCUGGAUACAUCUUGGGGGACUGAGGAACGCAGUGUGCCUUUGGCGGGGGUUUCGACCUCUCACAC